UACGUCGGGUGCAGGCGUUAAUCGGAAUUAUUGGGCGUAAAGGGCUCGUAGGCGGUCCAUCGCGUCGGGAGUGAAAAGCUGGGGCUUAACCCCAGUCCUGCUUUCGAUACGGGUGGACUAGAGGUAGGCAGGGGAGAACGGAAUUCCUGGUGUAGCGGUGAAAUGCGCAGAUAUUAGGAAGAACACCAGUGGCGAAGGCGGCUCACUGGUCCGGUACUGACGCUGAGGUGCGAAAGCGUGGGGAGCAAACAGG
rnacentral:rRNA from 1 species